rnacentral:rRNA from 1 species
UGGGGAAUAUUGGACAAUGGGGGAAACCCUGAUCCAGCGACGCCGCGUGUGUGAAGAAGGCCUGCGGGUUGUAAAGCACUUUCGGUGGGAACGAAAUAUGCCGGGCUAAUACCCCGGUAGGCUGACGUUACUCAAUGAAGAAGCACCGGCUAACUCUGUGCCAGCAGCCGCGGUAAUACAGAGGGUGCAAACGUUGCUCGGAAUUAUUGGGCGUAAAGCGCGUGUAGGCGGCUUGUUAAGUUGGUUGUGAAAACCCAUGGCUCAACCAUGGAAGUGCGUCCAAAACUGGCAAGCUAGAGUUCUGACGAGGAUGGCGGAAUUCCCAGUGUAGAGGUGAAAUUCGUAGAUAUUGGGAGGAACACCGGUGGCGAAGGCGGCCAUCUGGGAAGAUACUGACGCUGAGACGCGAAAGCGUGGGGAGCAAACAGGAUUAGAUACCCCAGUAGUCCCUGAGCGGGCUGGCAAGGCGC